AAGGCAAGAGGGAGGAAGAGGGCUGGUAAAGAGCAAAAAGCAUUGAAACACAACCCCUUCUACAUUUCUUUCACUCCAUCACCAAAUUGAUUUGUCCCAUUUGCAGACAUUGAUCUGUGGCCAUAGUAAGUGUAAUAGUUAAGUCCGAGACUCCAUUAACAUCAGUGUUGGGAAGACAUCCAAUCUGAUCAAGGGCCAGAGAGGAGGCAGCAGACGUGUGUCAGAUUAUUUGAAACGGGCUCAAAGGAACCCCAAGCAGUGAACAUGAAAACCCUUGUGUGGUGUAUCUUACUGUCAUCAUGGAUAACAAAGAGAUCCACAGAGAGUGAGAGCCCUAAAGAGGCCUGUUGACCUACAGGCUAUCAGGAAUGUCUGCUGAAUCAGUGAUUCUUCACUUGAAAACUAAAGAGUGAGUAAACAGCUGGUGAAUUCAGUAUGAAGAAGGUCAACUUCACCAUCAGUGAGCAAGCUGUAAAGACUUCAAGAAGUCCUUUACACCAUACAAUGUCCUGAAGCCUGAUGUGAUUCAAUAAUUUCCAAUGGAAUGCUGGAAAUUUCUGAAAAGAGGAUCUCACCCCAUCUAAACUUCUCUUACCAUGGCUCUCAGGCUCCAAGUUAUUCACAAUAGAAGAAAUUUCUCAGACCUUCCCAUAGAAAGCUGCUGCUGUUCCAAACUCUGGUCCUUCUAAAAUUGGGGAUGAGGAACAAAGUCUUCAAAGAAGAAAUCACACCUUCAUUCAGUGGCCUCAGCUACACCUUCGGAGCAGCUUCUUGGUUGACUUUUAUCUUUACAAAACCAUUUUCAAUGAUCCACCCUCUGAUUAGUCUGUCUCUACUGACUCAUGGUUUUGUCACUGGCUGGCUACAAGGCUACAGUUUUGAAAAACAUGUAAAUACGGUUACCAGCUCAAGCACAUAAAAAUGUAGGAUGCCCAGUUAAAUUUGACAAAUAUUUUUUUUAGCCUAAGUACAUCCCCGGAUAUAUUUAGGACAUAUUUAUACUUAGAAAAAUUAUUUAUAUCAAAUAACUGUCUUUUAUCCAGUAACCCAACAUGUGAAGAUUUUGGAAACUAGAUUAAUGAUUUCAGGAGCAUAGAUAUCAAGUUUUGACUCACACAAAAAUCAGAGAAACUGCUCCCAAGGAACAGUCCUAUGGCGAGGCGAACAUGCAUGAGAACAAAAUUUAGCAGUGCUGUAUGCACCACAAUAACCUGUAACAACCUAGCCCUUUCAGGGCUGACUCAUACACCUAGAGAAAUGCAUCUGAACACUCAGUCACUCAGUAAAGACAGAUGGUCUCAUUAGACAUUUGACAAAGAGAAAAAAAAAUGUGCUAAAUUUCAAUUACUAUUUGCUCACUCCCCAAACUCCUUGCCAAAUUUUUAUGAAAUGUAUCCAAAGCCUUCCAUAGGAGGUGUAAUAUUUGCUCGGGCUGCUAUAACAAAGUGCCACAAACUGGGUGGCUUAAACCAUAGAAGCCUUCUCUCCCAGUUCUGAAGGCCAGGAGUCGGAAGCCAAAGUGUCGGCAGGAUCGGUUCCUGCUGUGAAGGCGAGUCUGCUCCAGGCCUCCUCCAACUUGAGAUGGUUUCCUGGCAAUCUUUAGAGUGUCUUGGCUUAUAGAUGCAUCAUCCCAAUCUCCGCCUUCAUGUUCAUAUGUUGUUCUCUGUGUGUGAUGUCUGUGUCCAAAUUUCCCCUCUUUAUAAGGAUAGAAGUCAUAUUGGACUGGCGGCUCACCCUACUCCAGUGUCACCUCAUCUGAACCAAUCACAUCCGCAAUGACCCUAUUUCCAGAUGCCACAUUCUAAGGUACUAGGGGGUAAGCACUUCAACAUAUGAAUUUGGAGGGGACAUGUUCAACAUGUAAUGGGGGUGAAUCUGUACAGGUGUUAGAAAGACUGGAGAGGGAAUCCAAAACCCAACAACACAGGUCUGUAUGUGAAAACUGACAGGCAGGGUGUUUGACGGGGGAAGCUCCCAGGGCCUGGGUCCUGCCUCAAGGAUCUGUCCAUUCCACACCGGUGGGAAGGGCUGGCGAGUGGACAGGUAAAAGUUGGUCUGCAUGGCAAGCAUGCUGUUCUCACACAGCCUGGAAGCCGGCAGCGGCAGACUAGAAAGACUUACUCUAGGUCCAGUUCAGGCCCUGCCCUGGCUCUGCAGAAUCAUUCCUGGCUGUCCCCCACUUUCAGAACCCUCCCUCAUUAUAUGUAUUGCAUUUACUACCUAUAUCAUUCCUUUAGCAAAGCUCUCAUAUGUAUUUUCUAUGCAAGUUCUGUCUCUACAACUAUAUCAGGGAAGCUUUCGAUUUUCCCAAAGAAUAUUUUUGUGUGUAUUUUAUAUUAUAUGCACACACAUACAUAAAUAUGAACACAUCCAGCAAUGAUAAAGUAACUGAGAGUGGAAUGUUACAAAUCAGACUCUGAGAUCCCUUCUUUAAAAGGUUUCUUCUUUCAGAUAAUUCUUCCAGGCUUUAUGGGCUUUUCAAAGAAUACACAACUUAACUGAGUUCUUGGAGCGGUUAUCAAGUUAUAUUAAUUACUUUUCCCUGACAGAUACAGAUUGAUACGCAUACCAUCCUAGGAACAUGGUCUCCUGUCAUUUCAUUAUUACUGAGGCAAAUUUGUGGAGAGUACAUUUUCUGGAAAAAUGAGAAAUAAUGACUCUGUGACAUGAAUUAUAAACUCAAAAUAAAAUGUACCCAUAUAAAAAUGUUAAAAAUUUUAAAAUAUUUGAAAACUAUCAAAUCCAUUGCAAAAUUUGAUUUUUCAAGUUUUAAAAGGCAGAAUCACCUGGCUUUGUUAACUUAGCCCCUCGUUCAACUGGGGAUUGAUAUAAGAAAGGCCUAUUGCCUGAAGACAUUCUUGAGUAGCUGUUGACCCAAGGCCAUGUACAUUAUUUUACAGUCAAUAAAUCUCACCAACUGAA